rnacentral:rRNA from 1 species
GACGAACGCUGGCGGCGUGCUUAACACAUGCAAGUCGAACGGAAAGGCCCUGCUUUUGUGGGGUGCUCGAGUGGCGAACGGGUGAGUAACACGUGAGUAACCUGCCCUUGACUUUGGGAUAACUUCAGGAAACUGGGGCUAAUACCGGAUAGGAGCUCCUGCUGCAUGGUGGGGGUUGGAAAGUUUCGGCGGUUGGGGAUGGACUCGCGGCUUAUCAGCUUGUUGGUGGGGUAGUGGCUUACCAAGGCUUUGACGGGUAGCCGGCCUGAGAGGGUGACCGGCCACAUUGGGACUGAGAUACGGCCCAGACUCCUACGGGAGGCAGCAGUGGGGAAUAUUGCACAAUGGGCGGAAGCCUGAUGCAGCAACGCCGCGUGCGGGAUGACGGCCUUCGGGUGGUAAACCGCUUUCGCCUGUGACGAAGCGUGAGUGACGGGAAUGGGGAAAGAAGCACCGGCUAACUACGU